UUAACUCUCGUAGUCUUCCUUUGAAUAUACUUAUAAAUAAUGCAGGAAUCAUGGCAACACCAUUCAAGCUUUCCAAAGACAAUAUAGAAUUACAAUUUGCGACAAACCAUAUAGGUAAAAUUUGCAUCUUAAAUAUUUGUGAAUGCAUACUCAUGCACAAAUAAUAUUUGA